UAUAAGACUCUCGGCAACGGAUAUCUUGGCUCUUGCAUCGAUGAAGAACGUAGCAAAAUGCGAUACCUGGUGUGAAUUGCAGAAUCCCGUGAACCAUCGAGUUUUUGAACGCAAGUUGCGCCUGAGACCUCUUGGUUGAGGGCACGUCUGCCUGGGCGUCACGC
rnacentral:rRNA from 1 species